rnacentral:rRNA from 1 species
CCAUACGACCGUACCGCAAACCGACACUGGUGCGCGAGAUGAGUAUUCUAAGGCGCUUGAGAGAACUCAGGAGAAGGAACUCGGCAAAUUGACACCGUAACUUCGGAAGAAGGUGUGCCCUAUUAGUGUGAAGUGAACAACGGAGCAUGAAUGGGUUGCAAAAAAUCGGUGGCUGCGACUGUUUAUUAAAAACACAGCACUCUGCAAACACGAAAGUGGACGUAUAGGGUGUGACGCCUGCCCGGUGCUGGAAGAUUAAAUGAUGGGGUGCAAGCUCUUGAUUGAAGUCCCAGUAAACGGCGGCCGUAACUAUAACGGUCCUAAGGUAGCGAAAUUCCUUGUCGGGUAAGUUCCGACCUGCACGAAUGGCGUAACGAUGGCCACACUGUCUCCUCCUGAGACUCAGCGAAGUUGAAAUGUUUGUGAUGAUGCAAUCUCCCCGCGGAAAGACGGAAAGACCCCAUGAACCUUUACUGUAGCUUUGUAUUGGACUUUGAACAGAUCUGUGUAGGAUAGGUGGGAGGCUUUGAAGCAGGGUCGCUAGAUCUUGUGGAGCCAACGUUGAAAUACCACCCUGGUGUGUUUGAGGUUCUAACCUAGGUCCAUUAUCUGGAUCGGGGACAGUGCAUGGUAGGCAGUUUGACUGGGGCGGUCUCCUCCCAAAGCGUAACGGAGGAGUUCGAAGGUACGCUAGUUACGGUCGGACAUCGUGACGAUAGUGCAAUGGCAUAAGCGUGCUUAACUGCGAGACUGACAAGUCGAGCAGAUGCGAAAGCAGGACAUAGUGAUCCGGUGGUUCUGUAUGGAAGGGCCAUCGCUCAACGGAUAAAAGGUACUCUGGGAUAACAGGCUGAUACCGCCCAAGAGUUCAUAUCGACGGCGGUGUUUGGCACCUCGAUGUCGGCUCAUCUCAUCCUGGGGCUGUAGCCGGUCCCAAGGGUAUGGCUGUUCGCCAUUUAAAGAGGUACGUGAGCUGGGUUUAAAACGUCGUGAGACAGUUUGGUCCCUAUCUUCCGUGGGCGCUGCAGAUUUGAGGAAGCCUGCUCCUAGUACGAGGGGAUCGGAGUGGACACACCUCUGGUGUAUCGGUUGUCACGCCAGUGGCAUUGCCGAGUAGCUAAGUGUGGAAGAGAUAACCGCUGAAAGCAUCUAAGCGGGAAACUCGUUUCAAGAUGAGAUCUGCCGGGGCCUUGAGCCCCCUGAAGAGUCGUUCAAGACCAGGACGUUGAUAGGUCAGGUGUGGAAGCGCAGUAAUGCGUUAAGCUAACUGAUACUAAUUGCUCGUGCGGCUUGACC